rnacentral:rRNA from 1 species
GGACUACCCGGGUUUCUAAUCCUGUUUGAUACCCACACUUUCGUGCCUCAGCGUCAGUUACAUACCAGUAUGCUGCCUACGCAAUCGGGGUUCUGUGUAAUAUCUAAGCAUUUCACCGCUACACUACACAUUCCGCAUACCUCACUUGCACUCAAGCCUAACAGUUUCAACGGCAAUUUUACAGUUGAGCUGCAAACUUUCACCGCUGACUUAAUAAGCCGCCUACGCACCCUUUAAACCCAAUAAAUCCGGAUAACGCUUGCAUCCUCCGUAUUACCGCGGCUGCUGGCAC